CGCGAGGCCCGGCCCACCCCGCGUUCGCGCGUGCGCACGGGGAGGCCGGGGCGGGGCGCGUGAGGACUUCGGCGCGCGCCGGAAGCACGUGCGCGGGCUGGGCGCUCUGGCGGUGUGCGCUGAGGCUCCUGAGUAUAACAGAUUGGUUCUGAUUAAAACCAUUUCAGAGGAAAGACAGUGAUCCCAGGAAGCGGGAAGAAAACAGCAUCACCUGAAGUUAUUCCUAUUCGUUAGAUUUGUUUUCUUCCUGCGAAAAACUGCUAUGUACAAGAAAGAAGUCAGUGAGCUGCAGUGAUAGUUAGCAUUAUUGACUGAAACUGGACCAGAGAUCCCUGAAACCUGGACAAGGUGGUAGAAAUACAAAUUAUGCUGCCAUUUCAAAGCUGUGGGCAGUUUUCUACUUUGUGGAAAAUGAAGACUUAGGUAGGCCUUUGGGAAAGACGAUUUGUUUUGGAAAAACCACCCAAAGGGAUCAUUUGGUUUGCAAAUGUAACUGCAGUAUCACAACUGGAAGAAGAAAUAUACAAGGGCGAGGUUUGAAGGAGCCCUUCAGUAUCCUUGGAUGAUACUGUGGAAGAUUCUUUGCAUCUCAGUAACUUUGGAUCUUUGAAGAUCCAAGAAAAUAAAUUUCUUCAAAAUAUUUUUAGAGACUGCUUUGAUUCUGAGGCACUGCUGAUUAUAUGGAAGAAAAAAAUAUUGGAAGAUUAAUUUGUGGUUUUCUCCAGUUAUCGUCUCCCUUCUCUUUGGGGGAGGUUUGUGACGCAGUAAAAACAGAUAUACAAAAGCCUAGGCAUGUUAGAGAUUUGCCUAAGGGAAAUGUAAUUAUGAAGAAGGAUUUUUUCAAGCUGAAACUAGAUCCCACUUUUUUCCAGGUCAGUGGGUCCUUCAAGUAUCUGGUACUUUCCUUCCUGCUUCCUGACAAUGUUAAAGAAUGUGGCAUGACCUUACAUUUAAUGCCCAACGUGAGGAGCCCUGGGGCUUGAUGCAUGAGAUUCUUGGAGCUAGGCCUGGUGGAGGGCACUGGUCACAGCCUCGGUGGAAUGGUGACUUUCUUUGGUAACUGGAAUUGAAGAAAAUGAGUGGACUUGUGUCUGAGCACUUGGGAACUCAGCAAUCCCUGGGUGUUACCUUGAGAAGGAGCCAAAUUCCAGACAUACAAGUGGAGACUUGAAAAUGGAAGCUCAAUUCCACACCCAGGCUGGUGGAGACUAUGACAUAUAACUCACAUCUUCAAGAAAGUAGACACCUCAGAGGUCACUGGGCCACUUUACCUUCCACUGUCAAAACUAUGUCCAUGAUCAGAUACCUCUGUUGCUAGGGAAUAUUCAGUCAGAAUGGGCUAGAUUAACUGCAGUAAUGCAGAUCUCUCAACCCAUUUAUGACUUACGCAGCAAAGUUCCUCGCUCAGACUACCUGUCCACUCCCACGAGCAGAGACUUGCUCAUGGGCCCUCCUAGACCCAGGCUGACCGAGUGUGUUUUAUCUAAAUGCAUCUCCACAAUCACUCAGGUAGGAGUGGCUAUGCAUUAGGACUGAUUGUGCAUUAGUUAGAGAAGCACUUACCAGGAAUUGCUAUAAGAACUUCUAUUUACAUUUCAUGGGCCAAAGCAAGUCAUGUGGCAACACUUAAUUUCAAAGAGGACAGGAAAUGCAAUAUUGUUAUGUCCCUGAAAGAAAGGAGAAGAGAAAGUCUAUGGAAAGACAUUAUGACUACCACUGGAAUUUUCACCUGUCCAGGCAGCUCAUCGUGCUUUUAUUUGAAACAAUUUUAUUGAAGUAUAGGCAUAACUGCACAUACGUAUGUAUUUAUUUUAUUUUAUUUUUUGAGAUGUAGUCUUGCUUUGUUGCACAGGCUGGAAUGCAGUGGCGUGAUCUCAGCUCACUAUGACCUCUGCCUCCCGGGUUCAAGUGAUUCUCCUGCCUCAGACUUCUGAGUAGCUGGGAUUACAGCCACGCGCCACCACACCUGGCUAAUUUUUGUAUUUUUAGUAGAGACGGGGUUUCGCCUUGUUGGCUGUGCUGGUCUCAAACUCCUGACCUCAGGUAAUCCGCCUGCCUCAGCCUCCCAAAGUGCUGGGCAGCCUCCCAAAGUGCUGGGAUUACAGGCGUGAGCCACCGCACCUGGCCUGCACAUAUUUAAAGUGUACAUUUUGACAAUUUUUAAUAUAUAUGUACGCUUGUGCUUGCUGCUCCAGGGGACCGCUAUUUCUAGGCCUUUUCAGUGGACAGAGGCAUUUUUGUGAUUGUUUUAUCUCAUUUGUCACUUAGGAAGAAUAACUUCUUGUGAGGUUUAGUGGUGGUUUUGGGGUUGAUAGUAUAGGUCUUCAUCACAGUCCACCUCCAAGUGAUAAUACACUACUUUAUACAGAGUAUAAGAAACUGACAACCAUUUGCUUCCAUCCUCCCCCAGCAUCUGUGCUGGGGAUGUUGUACUUCUACAUAUGUUGUACACCCACAUACAUUGUUAUUGUUUUUACUUAAUAAGCUACUAAUUCUCUGUCUCUCUUUUCCUUUUAAUUGUGGUAAAAUAGACAUAAAAUGUAGCAACUCAGCCAUCUUGAAAUGUACAGUGGCAUUAAAUAUAUUCCCAUUGUUGUGCAACCAUCACCACCAUCCAUCUCUAGAACGCUUCAUGUUGCAAACCUGAAACUCUGUACCUGUUUAACAACAACUCCCCAUUCACUUCUCCCCACAGUGCCUGGCAACCACCAUUUUACUUCCUGUCUAGGAAUUGGCUUCUCUAGGUACAGUACCUCAUAUAAAUGGAGUCAUACAGUAUUUGUCUUUUCCUCACUGUCGUAUUUCACUUAGCAUAAUGUCCUCAAGAUUCAUCUGUAACAUUGUAGAAUGUGUCAGAAUUUCCUUCCUGUUUAAGACUGAAUACUAUUCAAUACUUUGUACAUAUAUACUGCAUUUUCAGCCAAUUCUUUUCAAUAGAUUUAAACAAUAAGAAAAAAGUGUUUUAUAUUUACUCACAUAGUUACCAUAUCUAAGACUCCUUAUUCUCUUGUAUAGAUUAGAUUUCCAUGGUCUCAUUUCCCUUUUGUCUGAAGGGCUUUCCUUGACAGAUCUUGAAGUGUAGAUCUCCUGGUGACUAAUUCUUUCAGCUUUUAUAUGUCCAAAAAAGUCUUUAUUUCACUUCUGUGUUUGAAGCUAUUUUUGCUCAAUUUCGAUUUUUAGGGUUUUCAAUUUUUUUUUUCUAACAUGAAGAUACUGUUUCAGUGUUUUCUGGCUCAUUUUGUUUCCGAUAAGGAGUGAACUGCCAUUCUUAUCUUUAUUUCUUUUAUGCAACGUGUCUUUUAUCUCUGCUUGGUUUUAAGAUUUCAUCUGUAUCACUAGUCUGAAGCAAUUUGAUUAUGAUGUGCCUUGGUGUUGAUUUUCUUUAAAGUUCUUGUCCUUGAGUUUCACUGAACUUCUCUGGUCUUUGAGUUUAUAGUUGCUAUCAGAUUUGGAGUUUUUUCAGCCAUUAUUUCUUCAAAUAUUUUUUUCUGCCCCUGCCUCUCCUUUCCUUUGGCGAUUCUACUACACAAAUAUUAGAUCACUUGAAUUUGUUUCACAGCUAACUCAGGCUUUGUUCAUUUUUUGUCAGUCUUUUUUCUUUCUGUUUUUCAUUUUCGUGUAAUUUCCAUUGCUGUGUCUUUAAAUUCACUCAUCUUUCCUAUAGUAUCUAAUCUGCUGUCAAUUCCAUCCAGCGUAUUUUUCGUCUCAGGCAUUGCCAUUUCACCUGCAGAAGUUUCACUCGGUGUCUGGACCUGCAUCUGGGUCCUCUGGUUUCCGUGUUUAGUGCUCAAGCAUAUGGAACAUGUGUCAUUUCUACUAACUUUAUCACCUAAGUAAUUUCUGAGAUUGUUUAUAUUGAUUGGCUUUUCUCUUCAUUGUAGGUAAUAUUUUCCUACUUUACAAGCCAGAUAAUUUUUUAUUGAAUGCCAGACAUUGAGAAGUUUACUUUGAGAUACAUAUAAUGUUUAUUUUUAUGAAUAUUUUUGAGCUUUGUUCUGGGGUGCAGGUAAGUUCCUUGGAAAGAGCUUGAUGCUUCAGGUCAUGUUUUUACACUUUUUUUAGGGGGUGGGCCCUGAGCAGCAUUCUACUCAACAAAUCCUUGAGUUGUGAAGGUUUUCACCAUGAUUGGCGGAAUUCGGAGUUCCUCUGGGCCGUGCGUGAGUGCUGGGGAUUGUUUUCUCUAAUAUUCGCUGGUGAUUCUUUAUCUGGCAUGGGGUAGGAGUGCCUACCACAGUAGGAAUUUGAAAUGCAGGUAUUUCUUCACUUGCCUGCACUGCUCAGUAAAGACUUGAAGGGAACCCUCUGCAAACCUCUGGCACUCUCUCUCUCUCUGUACAGCUCUGCACAACCCCCAGCUCAGGGAGUGCUGCUUCUUCCUCCUGUCUGACUCCAGAGCUCAGUCUGUGGCAGUCUUUCUCUGCAGUCACUUACUUGCUCAUUCAUUUCAUCUGGUCUUAAGGCUUUCAAUAUGAUCUAAAGCUGAUGAUUCCUUAAUUUCUAGCUUGCCUAGGCUUCUAUGUACAAUUGCUUACUUGAUACGUCCACUUGAAUGAAUGCCUAUUAGGUUUCUUAAUACUAACGAAAUAAAAACCAAGGCCGGGCACGGUGGCUCACGGCUGUAAUCCCAGCACUUUGGGAGGCCAAGGCGGGUGAAUCACAAGAUCAGGAGUUCAAGACCAGGCUGGACAAUAUGGUGAAACCCUGUCUCUACUAAAAAAUACAAAAAAUUAGCCAGGCAUGGUGGCGCGCACAUGUAGUCUCAUCUACUCAGGAGGCCGAGGCAGGAGAAUCGCUGGAACCUGGGAGGCAGAGGUUGCAGUGAGCCGAGAUCAUGCCACUGCACUCCAGCCCGGGCGACAGAGCAGAUUCCGUCUCAAAAUAAACAAACAAACAAACAAACCAAACAUCCAGAUUUCUUGACCAAACCAGUGCCUUCUGCAAUCUUUUGUAUCUCAGUAAAUGGCAGUUUGCCAGGUGUAUUAGUCAGGGUCGGGGUUCUCUAGAGGGACAGAACUAAUAGGAUACAUGUAUAUAUGAAAGGGAGUUUAUUGAGGAGAAUUGACUCACACGAUCACAAGCUAAAGUCCCAUGAUUGGCUGUCUGCAAGCUGAGGUGCAAGGAAGCCAGUGGUGGAUCAGUCCAAGUCCCAAAACCUCAAAAAUAGGGAAGCCGACAGUGUAGCCUUCCAUCUGUGGGCAAAGGCCCAAGAGGCCCUGGCAAACCACUGGUGUAAGUCUAAGAGUCCGAAAGCUGAAGAACUGGGAGGCUGAUGUUCAAGGGCAGGAAGCAUCCAGUACGGCAGAAAGAUGAAGGCCAGAAGACUCAGCAAGUCUGCUUUAUUCUAGCCGCUCUGGUAGCCGAUUAGAUGGGGCCCACCCAGAUUGAGGGUGGGUCAGCCUCUUCCGGUCCACUGACUCAAAUGUUAAUCUCCUUUGGGAACACCCUCACGACACACCUAGGAACAAUACUGUGAAUCCUUCAAUCAAGUUGACACUUAAUAUUAAACAUCACACCAGGGCCAAACCUUGGGAGUCCUGCCUGACUUCUCACACCCACAUUUGAUCCAUCAGCAAGUCCUACAGGCUCUACUGUCAAGAGCAUCCAGAAUCUGCUUUUGCUACUCCCACUGCCUCACCCCCGAAUCCUGGCCACCUCCUGGACCAGCCCGCCUCACCUCUCUCCUGCCUUUUGCAGCUACCUCCCCUUCCUGCUUCUAUGCUUGUCUCCCUGUGUUGUCUUUUCUCAACACAGCUGCUAGAGCAAUCCUAUUAAAAUGUAAACAAACAAAACCAAAAAUAAAUGACAAUUCUCCUUUAAAACAGCCAGUGUUGCCUGUAAUCCUAGGACUUUGGGAGGCCAAGGUGGGUGGAUCAUUUGAGGUCAGGAGUUCGAGACCAGCCUGGCCAACAUGGUGUAACCCCCCAACCUCUACUAAAAAUACAAAAAUUAGCCGGGCGUGGUGGGGGCGCCUGUAGUUCCAGCUACCUGGGAGGCUAAGGCAGGAGAAUCGCUUGAACCCGGGAGACAGAGUUUGCAGGGACCCGAGAUCAUGUCACUGCACUCCAGCCUGUGCGACAGAGCGAGACUCUAUCUCAAACAAAACAAAACAAAACAGCAACAAAAAAACAGCCAGUGUUGGGGGGAGGAGGGGACUAUAGGUCCCAUCAGGCCACCCUCUGCUCAAAGCCUCAUCUCACUCACAAUGGCCUAUAAAGUCAUCCAUGGUCUGCUCCCCCAACC
rnacentral:lncRNA from 1 species